UCGACGCGACCGCAUGAUGAAAAGAAAAACACCAACACCCAGACAGUGUGCAGAGCAUCAAUCAGAGACAUGGUUUAAAGAAUGUAUUUUCAUUUGUGCCUUUUGAUAAUAUCUAAAGUGAUACAAGGUGCUGUCUGAGUUGUUUUUCAAAGUCGCUGAUUUUGAAGAUUGAUUCAUGAGCUCAAAUGGAACUAGGUGGCUUAACGUAGAGGCAAACCUGGUUCACUGUACCCACGAUGCCCAUCCCUAUGCAUUAACCUGUUUUAACAGUUGCAUUUGUACCCUCUACAUUCUUUCAUGAACAAGUAUAGUCAUAGGCUAUAAACAUAAUAGACUGAAGUCUAUCAUUAUCCUCUCUUAACUGUGGAGUAAUUAGGCUGCAUGUAUUUCACAUAGGUAUUUGGUUUAGUAUUUGCUAUUGACCUUGCAUCCCAUUUGGCUCUGUGAAAAACCUGUUCUGAUCGCCUGUUAACUUGGCUUUAGGCAGCAGGCCACAAACAUCCGUAAUUAAAUAUUAAUAGAGCAGAGUGAAUUAUUAUUAAAUACAUUUUUUAUAUCAUAAUUGUUAAGGACAGCAGCGUUGCAUCUUAUUAUAAAAAGAGGAAUGAAGAAAAAUGCCAGCCUGCUUGAUACUGCCAGCUAAUGGAACUACUUUAAUGGAACAUUAUGGGCAGUUUGUCCUCCAGUUUUUUAUCAAGUCCCCGUAAAAUAUUCCCUUAAAUUGUAAACAUCAGAGGCUUCAACAUAGGAACUGUUUUAAAUGUGGAACGUGUUCACUUAUUCAAUAUUGAGAGAUGUGGUUGUUUAUUUGGUACAUGUUUGACAGUUUUGUCUUGGUUAAUGCUUCCAUAAUGUGCCAUUGAAUUGACUUGAACAGGCGGAAAGGUCUUAUUUUAAUGUAUCCUACGCAUAGUCCCCCCCUUGGCCAAACUGCUGAGCAUGUUUAAGUAUUAAGACUUUAAUGCCAACACUGUCUGGAUGUAAAUCGCUGGAGCAGCAGUAAGAAACACUCUUUUCUUUUGCAGUUGGCCUUUGGAAUACCUGUUCUUCCAAAUACAUUCCAGCCCAGAGCUGUUGUUCAGACUAGGUGUAUCACCCUUGGGUGAGUCAUGGGCCUCUAUAAAUACAAUCAAAACGCUCACAAUGUGCACCAGUCUCUCAACUUCUUGAUCAGGUAAUGUGAACACAUGAUACAGUCAAUGUGUGCAGCAGUCUAAUAUUUAGAAUUUAAAGGUGUUGAUUUAACAUUGAAAGUGCUGAAGAUUAUGUUCCACUCUUUCUUUCUCAAGUAGUGUUGUGUACAGUGCCUGUCAACCAACCAGAUAAGAUGUCUAAGAAUUGCGGUAAGUCUACAAUUGUAUAGAUUUGAAUGUUUAUAUAUGUAUCUAUUUUCUUGAUUGAAUGGCAGAACAACUUUAACGUAUUCUUCCAUAUUUUCUUUCACCCAGACAAGCCAGAGGAGUGUAUGCCCGAAGGAGAGUGUGAGGAUCGUGGAAAGGGUUGUGACAAGGGAAAGGGAAAGGAUGGCGACUCUGAUGGAGUAAGAAACCUUGCAUAUCUGCUGUAACUUUUUGAGUCUCAAUGGCUAUCCAACUUACUAUCCUACUUCCUCUUUGCUCCUUUUUUUUUUUCUUACAGGAAGAGAAGUGCCAUGGAAAGUCGGGUGGACGUGGGGGACACGGAAGGGGAGGAGGCCCGGACUGUGGAGAGCGUGGUGGAAAGGAAGUUCUUCUUUGUAAGAAGAACUAAUGACUUUGUUUUGUCUGAAGUAAAAUAAUAUAUAUAUAUAUAUAUAUAUAUAUAUAUAUAUAUAUAUAUAUAUAUA